GACAACCUUCUUUCAGUUGCCAUCCGUUCAGGAGAAGAUAAAUUUCUCGUGGAUGGUUCUCGAGUGGGAAGGUCUCGAGUAGGAAGGUAUAAGCUGCAAGAUUGAAGGUGGAAGACUAUAAUUUUGCCAACCAUUUUGUAAGAAAGUGGCAUAGUGCCAUUAAUGUGUGAUUUAUGUAUGUUGUUGCUCAAACUUAGUACUGGUUUAUGACUUUAUAUGUACUUUGAAACUUAAAAGCAGUUUGUUGCUCCAAUGAUAUAUUCACAUGCCAGCACUAACAGAAUGCGCCCUUACAACAAGUACGUACCGUACCGUCUACCGAUCGAUCAUCAAUUGACUAAGAUUGAAAUAAUAUUCAUUAAUAAUGAUAUAUAUAUAUAUAUAUAUAUAUUUUUUUUGGUA
rnacentral:lncRNA from 1 species